GCAGAGUAGGAAAUCCAGCGUAAAGUGUCGGUCAGACGGGGAGUUGCUGACAGAACGAAGAGUGAAAGAACUCGCGAUGGGAUUUUCGCAUCCCGCUGU
rnacentral:ncRNA from 1 species